rnacentral:rRNA from 1 species
AACGAACGCUGGCGGCAGGCUUAACACAUGCAAGUCGAACGCCCCGCAAGGGGAGUGGCAGACGGGUGAGUAACGCGUGGGAAUCUACCCAUCCCUACGGAACAACUCCGGGAAACUGGAGCUAAUACCGUAUACGCCCUUUGGGGGAAAGAUUUAUCGGGGAUGGAUGAGCCCGCGUUGGAUUAGCUAGUUGGUGGGGUAAAGGCCUACCAAGGCGACGAUCCAUAGCUGGUCUGAGAGGAUGAUCAGCCACAUUGGGACUGAGACACGGCCCAAACUCCUACGGGAGGCAGCAGUGGGAAAUAUUGGAAAAUGGGCCCAAGCCUAUUCCAGCAAGGCGCGGUGAGGGAGGAAGGCCUUAGGUUGUAAAGCUCUUUCACCGAUGAAGAUAAUGACGGUAGUCGGAGAAGAAGCCCCGGCUAACUUCGUGCCAGCCGCCGCUGUAACAC